GAGUCUUUACUAAUAGUUGGAGAUUGAAAUAGAAUCAUGCAUUGAAAUGAGUAUGGAAAAGUACGAAAGAGUAUGAUGAUUGACUCCAGUGAAUUUGAACUAUCCUUAAGGACUUUGAGUUGAAUCCUUUGUUUGAUAUUUUGUGGCUAUGAAUCCCCACUUUCAAACUUCUUUUCCAUCUUAUUUCUUAGCCCUUGCUUGAGGACUAGCAAGAGAUAAGUUUGGGGGAGUUGAUGUCUAGUGUUUUUGGUUGUUUUAAAGCCUCUUUUCUCUUAGUUUUCAUUGCUUUGCAUUCAUAUUUUGGCAUAUAGUGUUGCAUUUGCAUUUGCAUUUG
rnacentral:lncRNA from 1 species